UACGUAGGGGGCGAGCGUUGUCCGGAUUUAUUGGGCGUAAAGAGCGUGUAGGCGGUCAGGUAGGUCUGCUGUGAAAACUCGAGGCUCAACCUCGAGACGUCGGCGGAAACCAUCUGGCUAGAGUCCGGAAGAGGAGAGUGGAAUUCCUGGUGUAGCGGUGAAAUGCGCAGAUAUCAGGAGGAACACCAAUUGCGAAGGCAGCUCGCUGGGACGUUACUGACGCUGAGACGCGAAAGCGUGGGGAGCAAACAGG
rnacentral:rRNA from 1 species